GACGAACGCUGGCGGCGUGCCUAAUACAUGCAAGUUGAGCGCUGAAGGUUGGUACUUGUACCGACUGGAUGAGCAGCGAACGGGUGAGUAACGCGUGGGGAAUCUGCCUUUGAGCGGGGGACAACAUUUGGAAACGAAUGCUAAUACCGCAUAAAAACUUUAAACACAAGUUUUAAGUUUGAAAGAUGCAAUUGCAUCACUCAAAGAUGAUCCCGCGUUGUAUUAGCUAGUUGGUGAGGUAAAGGCUCACCAAGGCGAUGAUACAUAGCCGACCUGAGAGGGUGAUCGGCCACAUUGGGACUGAGACACGGCCCAAACUCCUACGAGAGGCAGCAGUAGGGAAUCUUCGGCAAUAGACGAAAGUCUGACCGAGCAACGCCGCGUGAGUGAAGAAGGUUUUCGGAUCGUAAAACUCUGUUGGUAGAGAAGAACGUUGGUGAGAGUGGAAAGCUCAUCAAGUGACGGUAACUACCCAGAAAGGGACGGCUAACUACGUG
rnacentral:rRNA from 1 species